AUCGGAUUACUGGGGCGUAAGCGCACGCAGGCGGUCUGUCAAGUCGGAUGUGAAAUCCCCGGGCUCAACCUGGGAACUGCAUUCGAAACUGGCAGGCUAGAGUCUUGUAGAGGGGGGUAGAAUUCCAGGUGUAGCGGUGAAAUGCGUAGAGAUCUGGAGGAAUACCGGUGGCGAAGGCGGCCCCCUGGACAAAGACUGACGCUCAGGUGCGAAAGCGUGGGGAGCAAACAGGAUUAGAUACCCUGGUAGUCCACGCCGUAAACGAUGUCGACUUGGAGGUUGUGCCCUUGAGGCGUGGCUUCCGGAGCUAACGCGUUAAGUCGACCGCCUGGGGAGUACGCACGCAAGGUUAAAACUCAAAUGAAUUGACGGGGGCCCGCACAACCGGUGCAGCAUGUGGUU
rnacentral:rRNA from 1 species